rnacentral:rRNA from 1 species
UACGGAGGAUGCAAGCGUUAUCCGGAAUGAUUGGGCGUAAAGCGUCCGCAGGUGGCUGUGUAAGUCUGCUGUCAAAGAGCGAAGCUCAACUUCGUAAAGGCAGUGGAAACUACACGGCUAGAGUGCGUUCGGGGCAGAGGGAAUUCCUGGUGUAGCGGUGAAAUGCGUAGAGAUCAGGAAGAACACCGGUGGCGAAGGCGGCAUCCUGGACCGGUAUUGACGCUGAGGCGCGAAAGCCAGGGGAGCAAACGGG